rnacentral:rRNA from 1 species
AUAACGACUCUCGGCAACGGAUAUCUCGGCUCUUGCAUCGAUGAAGAACGUAGCGAAAUGCGAUACUUGGUGUGAAUUGCAGAAUCCCGUGAACCAUCGAGUCUUUGAACGCAAGUUGCGCCCGAAGCCCUUAGGCCGAGGGCACGCCUGCCUGGGUGUCACCA